GAUGAACGCUGGCGGCGUGCCUAAUACAUGCAAGUCGAGCGAACGGACGAGAAGCUUGCUUUUCUGAUGUUAGCGGCGGGCGGGUGAGUAACACGUGGAUAACCUACCUAUAAGACUGGGAUAACUUCGGGAAACCGGAGCUAAUACCGGAUAAUAUUUUGAACCGCAUGGUUCAAAAGUGAAAGACGGUCUUGCUGUCACUUAUAGAUGGAUCCGCGCUGCAUUAGCUAGUUGGUAAGGUAACGGCUUACCAAGGCAACGAUGCAUAGCCGACCUGAGAGGGUGAUCGGCCACACUGGAACUGAGAAACGGUCCAGACUCCUACGGGAGGCAGCAGUAGGGAAUCUUCCGCAAUGGGCGAAAGCCUGACGGAGCAACGCCGCGUGAGUGAUGAAGGUCUUCGGAUCGUAAAACUCUGUUAUUAGGGAAGAACAUAUGUGUAAGUAACUGUGCACAUCUUGACGGUACCUAAUCAGAAAGCCACGGCUAACUACGUG
rnacentral:rRNA from 1 species